UUUAGGGCUGUUUUUCUAUUACCAUUUUUAAACAAAAAGGCAGCAAAGAGAGAAAAAUAAAUAAGGCUCCAAGAAAAUAUAAUCUGGCCUAGCAAAUUUUCAUUCUACAAAUCAUCCAAUAUUUUUGUUUUAUAAUUUUUUUUUCCUUUUUUAAAAGAAUUAUCAAAUUGUGAUUUUUCAAAUCAUAAAGUUGAAUUAGAUCUUUUUU
rnacentral:lncRNA from 1 species